UUCCGAAAACCAACCGCGUGAGGGAGGAGGCCUUAGGGUUGUAACCUCUUUUCUCUGGGAAGAAUAACUGACCAUACACAGGAAUAAGCCUCGGCUAACUCCGUGCCAGCAGCCGCUUGUAAGACGGAGGAGGCAAGCGUUAUCCGGAAUUAUUGGGCGUAAAGCGUCCGCAGGCGGUUAUUUAAGUCUGUUGUCAAAGGUCACAGCUCAACUGUGGAUCGGCAAUGGAAACUGGAUGACUUGAGUGUGGUAGGGGUAGAGGGAAUUCCCGGUGUAGCGGUGAAAUGCGUAGAUAUCGGGAAGAACACCAGUGGCGAAGGCGCUCUACUGGGCCACAACUGACGCUGAGGGACGAAAGCUAGGGGAGCGAAAGGGAUUAGAUACCCCUGUAGUCCGCCC
rnacentral:rRNA from 1 species